rfam:Salmo salar isolate Sally breed double haploid chromosome ssa11, whole genome shotgun sequence.
UAUAACAAUGUAGGUAAGGAAAGUUGGCAAAAAAGAUCCGCAACUUCGGGGUAAGGAUUGGCUCUAAGGGCUGGGUCGGUCGGGCUGGCUGGGGUGCGAAGCGGGGCUGGGCUCGAGCUGCGGCUGGGGGAGCAGUUGCUCUGUCGCCCUUUUUUAUUUAAUAUUUUUUUUAUUUCACCUUUAUUUAUCCAGGUAGGCCAGUUGAGAACAAGUUCUCAUUUCCAACUGCGACCUGGCCAAGAUAAAGCAAAGCAGUGCGACAAAAACAACAGCACAGAGUUACACAUAAACAUACAGUCAAUAACACAAUAGAAAACUCUAUGUACAGUGUCUGCAAAUGUAGAAGAUUAGGGAGGCCCUCCUCUCGCCACCAUUGGAAGUUCGUUUUGCGGCCCAUCUCAUGGUCUCUCGUGCGUGGUCUCGCAAGGGGCUGCGUGUGGGGGUUCGUCGGGGUGGUGUCUGUUGGCCGGGCGAAGGCGGUUGGCGGCGGAAACUCUGGACGCGCUCCUGGCCCUUCUCGCAGAUCUCGCCAGCUACGGAGCUCGCCGGCCCCAUACAUUGUAGGUGGGGAGGUCUCCUCUACGCUCACUAGACUUGAGGCGGAGACUAAACCCAUUGGCCCUGCAAUGAUAGGGCAUUGCAUGGAUCUGGCUCAUGCCCUAUGAAGUGGGGAGAGGUAUCUCCAGCUUGUCUGGGGAAGGAGGGCUACAUUUGAUGUGUGUAGUACCAUCCACACCCAUUGAUUUGCUGCAGAACAAUAAAACGGACGGAAGAAGCUUAGGUUCCCACUGGUCACGGAUCACUGAAUGUCAACUUGAUGAAAUUCAAAGGAGCGUACCCACAUGUCGCGGUAACACUCAAAUCAACCGUGGAGUGACUGUGACCCCCUCAUGUCAGUGAGGAAUAUCAAUGAAGCGCUGGUUAAGGUGGUUCCUAUGUCUCUGUCCCGGAGGGCUGACUGGGCAAGCAAAUAAUUGAAAGGGUAUGAUUCUUUUCUGUUGCUUCUUCCGACACCCGGUCGAUGGUGCCGCUAGAUACUACGAGGGUUAUUUGGUUUUCAAGCCUAUAAGUAUUGUGCUGGCACUUGAAGUCGAUUGGGUGUAAAAACCCAGUUAAAGUCCGCUGAAGCUUAGUAGCGGCAACUGAUGUCCAGUUUGUAAGAUAGAAAAGCCUCUGAUGAUGCCACCGGGCGUUACUCAAAUGGAUGUCAAUUUUAUGAUAUCUGACCGUAGCAUGCUAGCCUUCGCGGUCGCUCUCAAACUACCUUCAGGGUGGCUGUGCCCCCCUCAUGUCAAAGUGAGGAAAUUCGAUGAAGCAGGGAUAAAUGGCGGGACAUAAUUGAGUCUCUUGAGGUAGUCAAAUGCCUCGUCAUCUAAUUAGUGACGCGCAUGAAUGUAGGAACGAGAUUCCCACUGUCCCUACCUACUGUAGCAAAACCACAGUCAAGGUAACGGGCUUGAUGGAAUCAGCGGGGAAAGAAGACCCUGUUGAGCAUGACUCUAGGCUAGCACUGUGAAGAGACAUGAGAGGUGUAGAAUAAGUGCGAGGCCUUUGUUGCGGGUGAAAUACCACUACUCUUGUCGUUUUUUCACUUACUUGGGGAGGUGAGCCCUGGGUGCUCACGCCGGGUGCGACCCGCUCCGGGGACAGUGGCAGGUGGGGAGUUUGACUGGGGCGGUACACCUGUCAAACGGUAACACAGGUGAGCUUAUGGAGUACAGAAACUUCCCGUCGAGCAGAAGGGCAAAAGCUCGCUUGAUCUUGAUUUUCAGUAUGAAAAGUGGGACCUCACGAUCCUUCUGAAUUUUUGGCUUUUAAGCAGGAGGUGUCAGAAGUUACCACAGCGAUAGCUGGCUUGUGGCGGCCAAGCGUUCAUAGCUACGUUGCUUUUUGAUCUUUCGAUGUCAGCUCUUCCUAUCAUUGUGAAUCAGAAUUCACCAAGCGUUGGAUUGUUCACCCACUAAUAGGGAACAUGAGCAGGGUUUGGACCAUCGUGAGACAGUUUAGUUUUACCCUACUGAUGAUGUGUUGUUGAAAUAGUAAUCCUGCUCAAUACGAGAGGAACCGCAGGUUCAGACAUUUGGUGUAUGUGCUUGGCUGAGGAGCUAGUGGUGCGAAGCUACCAUCUGUGGGAUUAUGACUGAACGCCUCUAAGUCAGAAUCCCCCCUAAACGUAACGAUAUCGUAGCGCCGUGGAUCUUCGGUUGGCCUGGGAUAGCCUCCCUCUUUUUGACAGGUGAAUAGAGCCGUUUGUGACGAGGUUGGGGUGCGGCUGGAUAAGUUGCUGCCCCUCUCCUGAUGCGCACCGCAUGUUUGUGGGGAACCUGGUGCUAAAUCACUCCAUAGACGACCUGAUUCUGGGUCAGGGUUUUGUACGUAGCAGAGCAGCUCACUUGCUGCGAUCUAUUGAUAGUCAGCCCUCGAUCCAAGCUUUU